GACGAACGCUGGCGGCGUGCUUAACACAUGCAAGUCGAGCGGGGAUAAACCCUUCGGGGUUUAUUCUAGCGGCGGACGGGUGAGUAACGCGUGAGCAAUCUGUCCUACACAGGGGGAUAACAGAUGGAAACAUCUGCUAAUACCGCAUAAGACCACGGGAUCACAUGUUCCUGGGGUAAAAGAUUUAUCGGUGUAGGGUGAGCUCGCGUCCGAUUAGCUAGUUGGUGAGGUAACGGCCCACCAAGGCGACGAUCGGUAGCCGACCUGAGAGGGUGAUCGGCCACAUUGGAACUGAGACACGGUCCAA
rnacentral:rRNA from 1 species